rnacentral:rRNA from 1 species
AUUGAACGCUGGCGGCCGGCCUAAUACAUGCAAGUCGAGCGAGCGGCGGACGGGUGCGGAAUGUCUGGUAAACUGCCUGAUGGAUGGGGAUCACAGCUGGAAACGGUAUCUAAUACCGCAUACCAUCAGAUUUGCCCAGAUGGGAUUAGCUAGUAGGUGGGGUAACGGCUCACCUUGGCGACGAUCCAUAGCCGGCCUGAGAGGAUGACCAGCCACACUGGGACUGAGACACGGUCCAGACUCCUACGGGAGGCAGCAGUGGGGAAUAUUGGACAAUGGGCGCAAGCCUGAUGCAGCCAUGCCGCGUGUGUGAAGAAGGUCUUCGGGUUGUAAAGCACUUUCAGCGGGGAGGCGGUACCCGCAGAAGAAGCACCGGCUAACUCCGUGCCAGCAGCCGCGGUAAUAC